rnacentral:rRNA from 1 species
GUCCAGACUCCUACGGGAGGCAGCAGUGGGGGAUAUUGCACAAUGGAGGGAACUCUGAUGCAGCGACGCCGCGUGAGGGAAGAAGGUUUUCGGAUUGUAAACCUCUGUCUUCGGUGACGAAACGAGACGGUAGCCGAGGAGGAAGCCACGGCUAACUACGUGCCAGCAGCCGCGGUAAUACGUAGGUGGCAAGCGUUGUCCGGAAUUACUGGGUGUAAAGGGAGCGUAGGCGGGAAGACAAGUUGAAUGUUUAAACUAUCGGCUCAACCGAUAAUCGCGUUCAAAACUGUUUUUCUUGAGUGAAGUAGAGGCAGGCGGAAUUCCUAGUGUAGCGGUGAAAUGCGUAGAUAUUAGGAGGAACACCAGUGGCGAAGGCGGCCUGCUGGGCUUUAACUGACGCUGAGGCUCGAAAGCGUGGGUAGCAAACAGGAUUAGAUACCCCCGUAU